CAGUCGCCGCGGUAAUACGGAGGGGGCUAGCGUUGUUCGAAACUACUGGGCGUAAAGCGUACGUAGGCGGCUUUGUAAGUUAGAGGUGAAAGCCUGGUGCUCAACACCAGAACUGCCUUUAAGACUGCAUCGCUUGAACGUCGGAGAGGUGAGUGGAAUUCCGAGUGUAGAGGCGAAAUUCGUAGAUAUUCGGAAGAACACCAGUGGCGAAGGCGGCUCACUGGACGACUGUUGACGCUGAGGUACGAAAGCGUGGGGAGCAAACAGGAUUAGAUACCCGGGUAGUCCCUGUCUCUUAUAC
rnacentral:rRNA from 1 species